rnacentral:rRNA from 1 species
UACGAGGGGGGCAAGCGUUGUUCGGAAUUAUUGGGCGUAAAGGGCGCGUAGGCGGUGCGGUAAGUCACCUGUGAAAUCUCCUGGCUCAACUGGGAGCUUGCAGGCGAAACUGCCGUGCUGGAGUGUGGGAGAGGUGCGUGGAAUUCCUGGUGUAGCGGUGAAAUGCGUAGAUAUCAGGAGGAACACCGGUGGCGAAGGCGGGUCUCUGGGCAGUAACUGACGCUGAGGAGCGAAAGUGUGGGGAGCGAACAGG